rnacentral:rRNA from 1 species
GACGUAGGGCGCGAGCGUUGUCCGGAUUUAUUGGGCGUAAAGAGCUUGUAGGCGGUUUGUCGCGUCUGCCGUGAAAAUCCGGGGACUCAACCCCGGACUUGCGGUGGGUACGGGCAGACUAGAGUGUGGUAGGGGAGACUGGAAUUCCUGGUGUAGCGGUGAAAUGCGCAGAUAUCAGGAGGAACACCGAUGGCGAAGGCAGGUCUCUGGGCCACUACUGACGCUGAGAAGCGAAAGCGUGGGGAGCGAACAGG